rnacentral:lncRNA from 1 species
AUCCCCAAGACAUUAAAAUGCAACCCUUACAAUUUUCCUGUUUCGGCUACAAAUUAGAAAUAUCCUGAUCCCCAUUAAAAAAGGAUUCGUUCCCAGAGAAAGUGGCUUAAUUCAAGUUUUCACACAGGCACCCGAAAGCCAGCAAUUCCCUUAUGGAAAGGUAGAUUCAGGAGAUCUGGGCAGGACUGCGUGGCAGCGUCAGGCUCCCUUAUUUCCUAGCCCUCAAUCCAAUUCCUAGUGAGGUGGCUGUCCUACCGGACUCAAAGAAUGAAACUGCCACCUGGGCUCUGAAGAGAUGCCAGUUCCAGUAGUUCCUCAAGGGUUCAAAGAACUUCAGUGACUGCCACAGGCAAAGUGGAUUCAAAUGCUAAACGGAACCAAGCAGACCGAAGACUGCAGAAAGGAAGGUCUGACACUGAGCACAGAUGGGGGGGGGGGGGGGAAGAGACGAAGCUUCCAGAAAUUCAGAUCUCCUCCCAGCUGCCCCUCCCUACCCAACUUGUAAAGGUUGCUUUGUGCUUUGACCAGGAGAGGCCUGGUUGGAAAGUGACUCUACUCUGUCUUAAUACAGAAACGCCUUACUAUGCUCCAGUGCAGCGGCGGACGGCCCGGUGUUAUUUCUGGAAUCCCCAAGGCCAGGCUGCAAGACACACGAGCGUUUAUGUUCCUGUGGGUUGGGGUGGAGCUGGACACACAGAAAUCCCAACGGAUAAAAUGCCUUCUGUAUAAGCAGUGGAUUUCAAGAUUCCCUAAAUUAGAGCAGCAAACCCAGCCCAUAGAGAGGAGACGCCCAUGGAGGUGAUGAGAGAGGAGACAUAUGAAGGGAAAUUGUCAAAAAGGUUGUUUCUGAGUGAGGCCUACCCAAAAGAGGCACGUGCCAAAUAUUUACCACAAACAAGCUCAUAUGAUCAUGUGAAAUCAAAAACUGACACAUUAUGAAAUUGUAAUAUCUGAGGGACUCCAUAGAAUCUGCUUGUGUCUGAAAAAAAAAUUCUUGGUACUUCAAGUCCCAGAACACAGAAAAGCUG